rnacentral:rRNA from 1 species
GUAGGUGGCAAGCGUUGUCCGGAAUUAUUGGGCGUAAAGCGCGCGCAGGCGGUUCUUUAAGUCUGAUGUGAAAGCCCACGGCUCAACCGUGGAGGGUCAUUGGAAACUGGAGAACUUGAGUACAGAAGAGGAAAGCGGAAUUCCACGUGUAGCGGUGAAAUGCGUAGAGAUGUGGAGGAACACCAGUGGCGAAGGCGGCUUUCUGGUCUGUAACUGACGCUGAGGCGCGAAAGCGUGGGGAGCAAACAGGAUUAGAUACCCUGGUAGUCCACGCCGUAAACGAUGAGUGCUAAGUGUAGGGGGUUUUCCGCCCCCCUUAGUGCUGCAGCUAACGCAUUAAGCACUCCGGCCUGGGAGUACGGCCGCAAGGCUG